rnacentral:rRNA from 1 species
GAUGAACGCUAGCUACAGGCUUAACACAUGCAAGUCGAGGGGAAACGACAUCGAAAGCUUGCUUUUGAUGGGCGUCGACCGGCGCACGGGUGAGUAACGCGUAUCCAACCUGCCCACCACUUGGGGAUAACCUUGCGAAAGUAAGACUAAUACCCAAUGAUAUCUCUAGAAGACAUCUGAAAGAGAUUAAAGAUUUAUCGGUGAUGGAUGGGGAUGCGUCUGAUUAGCUUGUUGGCGGGGUAACGGCCCACCAAGGCUACGAUCAGUAGGGGUUCUGAGAGGAAGGUCCCCCACAUUGGAACUGAGACACGGUCCAAACUCCUACGGGAGGCAGCAGUGAGGAAUAUUGGUCAAUGGACGAGAGUCUGAACCAGCCAAGUAGCGUGCAGGAUGACGGCCCUAUGGGUUGUAAACUGCUUUUAUAAGGGAAUAAAGUGAGUCUCGUGAGACUUUUUGCAUGUACCUUAUGAAUAAGGACCGGCUAAUUCCGUGCCAGCAGCCG